rnacentral:rRNA from 1 species
UACGGGGGGGGCAAGCGUUGUUCGGAAUUACUGGGCGUAAAGGGCGCGUAGGCGGCCGCCUAAGUCAGACGUGAAAUCCCUCGGCUCAACCGGGGAACUGCGUCUGAUACUGGGUGGCUUGAAUCCGGGAGAGGGAUGCGGAAUUCCAGGUGUAGCGGUGAAAUGCGUAGAGAUCCGGAGGAACACCAGAGGCGAAGGCGGCAACCUGGCUCGUAACUGACGCUCAUACACGACAGCAUGGGGAGCGAACGGG